rnacentral:tRNA from 1 species
GCGCCCGUAGCUCAGUUGGAUAGAGCACUUGGCUACGAACUAAGGGGUCGGGAGUUCGAAUCUCUCCGGGCGCG